rnacentral:rRNA from 1 species
UACGUAGGGUGCGAGCGUUGUCCGGAAUUAUUGGGCGUAAAGCGCGUGUAGGCGGCUCUGCAAGUCAGGUGUGAAAUCCCACGGCUCAACCAUGGAAGUGCACUUGAAACUGCAGGGCUAGAGUCCUGGAGAGGAAGGUGGAAUGCUUGGUGUAGAGGUGAAAUUCGUAGAUAUCAAGCGGAACACCGGUGGCGAAGGCGGCCUUCUGGACAGUGACUGACGCUGAGACGCGAAAGCGUGGGGAGCAAACAGG